GGCGGAUGGCUCUGGGCUGCUCACUGGAGUCAAGGCCAAGCAGGAGCUGGGACCGCUAAAGCUCUGAUGGAUCUGCCGAGAACAGACCAAGAACGCACACCGUUUACUGCGCCCUACUUCUAUAACGAGCUUAUCAACUGCAACCUUUUCUAUAGGGGACCCUCAGUGGGGAAACUUCCAGCACGUUUGCUGUGCUCUCCAGGAGCUGGGGGAGGUAGAAGCAGGAACGAUUCUUCCUUGCUGCUCGGUAACUUUGACCACGGUGACAUCCCUGAUCUGUCUGUUUGCACAGGAGGUCUCCAGGUAGAGGGAUAAGAGCCAGG